UUAUCCUCGCACACCACCUCCCAAGCCGCGGGCGCGAAAGGGUCGCACUGGAGCCCCGCGCGGGCUGCCACCGGUGUGGGGCUCCAGCGCGACUCUCUCGUACCCGCGGCUUCUCCACCUGCCCCUCCCGCCACCGCCGCCACCGCUAUAGCCGUCAUCGCCUCCGAUCCGGCUUGGCCCAACCAGCCUCCUCCGCCGCCCGUGUUGCCGGCCUCACUGCCCUGUGCCCGCCACCUUCCUUUGGACUGACCUACCACCCCGGGCUUCCUCUAAGAUCGGCAAUGGAGAAGCUCACCACAGCCCUAACCCCAACCCCCAACUCUAAACCAUAAAUCUCACCGGAGAUGGAGAACAAGGCAAGGCAAGAGGAGGAGAAAUGAAAUUAGGGUGUGGGAGCUCUCCAAAAUGCCAGAGUAUGAGACAACAUGUCGGAGUCUCGCAAGCGCCGCCCACAUGGGUGACCUUCGGAUUCCUAAAGUACUUGUCAUGGCAGAGCCCCCAGCACUUCGUGUCAUCGCAGGUGCCCUUGCUGGCGAUGAAGUUUCUGCCACAGUAUGGUGUAGCGCUUGCAUCCAUUGGGUACUCAGCCUCUGCCGCAUCUGCACAGAGUGAUAGAAAAAAUUGCUGAGGUCAGUAUGCAGAAGUGAUCGAGCGCAUACAAAUUGUGAGCAAUGCUGCGCCAAGAAAUUGACGAACGAACUUGAGCAGAGUGUGAGGAGGAGAAUGCAGAGAGCAAAAGAUGCCGCUCUGCUGGUUGCCAUAGUGUUGCUUCCUGAGAUUUAUUCCCUAGUGCUAGCUUGUGGUUUAUUUGGUGCGAGUUUGGUCGGACAUGGGGUUAUUUUGGGGGUAUAAAUAGGAUCUAGUUGGAGGGUCUGGAAUUAAUGGAUUUGCAUGCCUAAUCUGGAGCUCACAAUUAAGAAUUCCUUAAAAUUUGUGGGGUAUGUAUCAAAGGAGAAGUAGUGACGGCUUAUCUCAAGAUAUUACCCCGAUCUCGUGUGCUUAGAUUGGUAGUAGUUUAUUAGAAUUCACUAAAAUUUACGUUGUAUUAGGGGUUAUUAUUUGUAAAGGAAAAUAAAGUAACGCUCCCUACUCUUAAGAAACUAAUUAGCUCAUGCAUAUCUCCUGUAGUUGGUAGCUUAUUAAGACUAACUCUGUCUAGACUGAUGUAUAUUUGCAUUCUU